rnacentral:rRNA from 1 species
GAACGCGAAGAACCUUACCAGGUCUUGACAUUGAUGGACAGAACUAGAGAUAGUUCCUCUUCUUCGGAAGCCAGAAAACAGGUGGUGCACGGUUGUCGUCAGCUCGUGUCGUGAGAUGUUGGGUUAAGUCCCGCAACGAGCGCAACCCCUAUCUUAUGUUGCCAGCACGUAAUGGUGGGAACUCAUGAGAGACUGCCGCAGACAAUGCGGAGGAAGGCGGGGAUGACGUCAAAUCAUCAUGCCCCUUAUGACCUGGGCUACACACGUACUACAAUGGGAGUUAAUAGACGGAAGCGAAACCGCGAGGUGGAGCAAACCCGAGAAACACUCUCUCAGUUCGGAUCGUAGGCUGCAACUCGCCUACGUGAAGUCGGAAUCGCUAGUAAUCGCAGGUCAGCAUACUGCGGUGAAUACGUUCCCGGGUCUUGUACACACC